UACAGAGGUCUCAACCGUUGUUCGGAUUCAUUGGGCGUAAAGGGUGCGUAGGCGGUCGCGCAAGUCGGAUGUGAAAUCUCGAGGCUCAACCUCGAACUGCAUUCGAUACUGCGUGGCUAGAGUGCUGGAGGGGAGACUGGAAUUACGGUGUAGCAGUGAAAUGCGUAGAUAUCGUAAGGAAGACCAGUGGCGAAGGCGAGUCUCUGGACAGCAACUGACGCUGAGCACGAAGGCCGGGAGGCAAACGGG
rnacentral:rRNA from 1 species